rnacentral:rRNA from 1 species
GUUGUCCGGAAUUAUUGGGCGUAAAGCGCGCGCAGGCGGUUUCUUAAGUCUGAUGUGAAAGCCCCCGCGCUCAACCGAGGGAGGGUCAUUGGAAACUGGGGAACUUGAGUGCAGAAGAGGAGAGUGGAAUUCCACGUGUAGCGGUGAAAUGCGUAGAGAUGUGGAGGAACACCAGUGGCGAAGGCGACUCUCUGGUCUGUAACUGACGCUGAGGCGCGAAAGCGUGGGGAGCGAACAGGAUUAGAUACCCUGGUAGUCCACGCCGUAAACGAUGAGUGCUAAGUGUUAGAGGGUUUCCGCCCUUUAGUGCUGCAGCAAACGCAUUAAGCACUCCGCCUGGGGAGUACGGUCGCAAGACUGAAACUCAAAGGAAUUGACGGGGGCCCGCACAAGCGGUGGAGCAUGUGGUUUAAUUCGAAGCAACGCGAAGAACCUUACCAGGUCUUGACAUCCUCUGACAACCCUAGAGAUAGGGCUUCCCCUUCGGGGGCAGAGUGACAGGUGGUGCAUGGUUGUCGUCAGCUCGUGUCGUGAGAUGUUGGGUUAAGUCCCGCAACGAGCGCAACCCUUGAUCUUAGUUGCCAGCAUUCAGUUGGGCACUCUAAGGUGACUGCCGGUGACAAACCGGAGGAAGGUGGGGAUGACGUCAAAUCAUCAUGCCCCUUAUGACCUGGGCUACACACGUGCUACAAUGGGCAGAACAAAGGGCAGCGAAGCCGCGAGGCUAAGCCAAUCCCACAAAUCUGUUCUCAGUUCGGAUCGCAGUCUGCAACUCGACUGCGUGAAGCUGGAAUCGCUAGUAAUCGCGGAUCAGCAUGCCCGGUGAAAUACGUUCCCGGGGCCUUGUACACACCGCCCGUCACACCACGAGAGUUUGUAACACCCGAAGUCGGUGAGGUAACCUUUUGGAGCCAGCCGCCGAAGGUGGGACAGAUGAUUGGGGUGAAUCUACAGGGG